rfam:Ovis aries breed Texel chromosome 8, whole genome shotgun sequence.
UGGCUCAGAUGGUAGAGCGUCUGCCUGCAAUGCUGGACACCCGGGUUCGAUCCCUGG